rnacentral:rRNA from 1 species
GAGGCUCUGUGCCGGAGCGUACUCUAUAAGCAUCCUGCUUGGGAACUACGGCCGCAAGGCUAUAUCUCUAUCGAAUUGUCGUGGACCCUGCACAAGCAGCGGAGUGUGUGGUUUAAUUCGAUGCUACAUGAAGAACCUUACCUGGGUUUGACAUGUUGGUGUUAUCGAACCGAAAGGGGAGGGACCCUUCGGGGAGCCAACACAGGUGCUGCAUGGCUGUCGUCAGCUCGUGCCGUGAGGUGUCGGGUUAAGUCCCGUAACGAGCGCAACCCUUGCUUUUAGUUAUACGUCUCUAAGGGCGACUGCCGGCGACAAGCCGGAGCCCCCUGGCGACUCACGUCAAGUCAGCAUGGCCUUGAUAUCCAGGGCUACACACACGCUACAAUGGCCGGUACAAAGGGCAGCCAAGCCGCGAGGUGGAGCGAAUCCCAGCAAAGCCGGUCCCAGUUCGGAUUGCAGGCUGCAACCCGCCUGCAUGAAGUUGGAGUUGCUAGUAACCGCGCGUCAGCCCUCCUGCGGUGAAUACGUACCCGGGUCUUGUACACACCGCCCGUCACGUCAUGGGAGUUGCAACGCCUGACAGCGGUA